rnacentral:rRNA from 2 species
GUCCUUUAGAAAUUAAUUUAAGGUCUAACCUGCCCACUGAAUUUUUUUAAAUGGCCGCAGUAAUUUGACUGUGCAAAGGUAGCAUAAUCAUUAGUUUUUUAAUUAAAAGCUUGUAUGAAAGGUUGGACGAAGUAAAAUCUGUCUCUAAUUAAAUUAAUUUAGAAUUUAACUUUUAAGUCAAAAGGCUUAAAUAUUUCUAAAAGACGAGAAGACCCUAUAGAUCUUUAUAAUUUUAUUUAUUAAAUUUAAUUAUGAAUUUUUAAAAUUUUAGUAAUAAAAUUAUUUUAUUGGGGUAAUAUAAAGAUUAAAAUAAUUCUUUUUUUUUAUUAACAUUAAUUUAUGAUUUUUAUGAUCCAAUUAUAUUGAUUAAAAGAUUAAGUUACCUUAGGGAUAACAGCGUAAUUUUUUUAGAGAGUUCUUAUCGAUAAAAAAGUUUGCGACCUCGAUGUUGGAUUAAAGAUUAUUUUAGGUGCAGAAGUUUAAAAAUUUGGUCUGUUCGACCAUUAAAUCUUUACAUGAUCUGAGUUCAGACCGGUGUAAGCCAGGUCGGUUUCUAUCUUUAGUAAAUUAAAAUAUUUUAGUACGAAAGGACCAAUUAUUUGAUAUAUUAAUAUUUAUAUAUUUUGAUUAUUAUUAA